UACGAAGGGUGCUAGCGUUGUUCGGAAUCACUGGGCGUAAAGCGCGCGUAGGUGGCUUAACAAGUCAGGGGUGAAAUCCCACAGCUCAACUGUGGAACUGCCUUUGAAACUGUUAAGCUAGAGUGUCGGAGGGGAUAGCGGAAUUGCUAAUGUAGAGGUGAAAUUCGUAGAUAUUAGCAGGAACACCGGUGGCGAAGGCGGCUAUCUGGACGACAACUGACACUGAGGCGCGAAAGCGUGGGGAGCGAACAGG
rnacentral:rRNA from 1 species